GCCGACGACCGACGAGGCUCUGCCGCUCUCCUCCCCAUCCAGCCUCGACCGCCGCUCGCCAAGACUCCGCCGUCUGCUUCCUCGCAGGGGGCCACCGCCGCGGGCUCCAUCGCUGGGUAUGCAUGGGGAGGGGGCCCGCGGCCUCCAGCGCCGCUGCUCCCCGCGGUGGGAGCAAGGCGGGUCCGGCCGAGCUGGGUAGUGGCGCGCCUCGUCGAGGUCCCGGAGCUUCGCGCCAGCAGCGGCGCUGCGGAGCUUGAACAGAGCCAAGGCAGCGGCGGCACUGAGAGCUUGCGCUGAGAGGAGAAUGAAGAGGCGAUUCCUGGCUGGUGGCCUCGUAGGCACCAUACGUAUGUGCAGCCCGUGGGCAUCGAUGCUCAGGCCUUCAUGUCCUGUAGGUGUAGGAGGCUGUUGAUGGUUCUGAUUCUUUGAUUUUUGGAGAUGGAGCAACUUGUGUAGUGUUGUAUUUGGCGCAACGCCGCUGCUGAUUGGAGUUAGAAAUCAGAGAGAGCUGCAGGACGCGGUGAAGGCAAGGAUGGCGUGAGAUGCUGUUGCUUCUAGCUUGGUGGGGACGGAAGCAGAGAGGAAGGAGGUAGCUAUUGCUGCUUCAAUCGGAAACAGAGAAGAAGCAGAGAUCCAUAUCGUGAUGGUUCUUGGUUGGCUGCUUGCUGUGUGUCCAUAACAAGAGGAAGGGAAUUAGCUAGUGACGAGCCUGAGGGAGCAGUAGCUCGGAGUGGGUCUAGCUUGACGAGGAGAGGGAGGGAAUGGCAAGGGUAGGAUCGGUGGAUCCAAAUACCCCAGCUGGCUAAAGUUUAGACGGGUGAAUCUAGGAUCGUAACCGAGAGCUCGUGGGAACUCAUGCCAAUCACCUUUAUUUCCGUUGGCAACUUGGAUCUGAGAGGAAAGAAAAAUUCAAAUAUGAGUAUUUUAUUAAGGUCCAAAGGAGUGCCUCGUGCCAAAAGCAAAAUUGAGGUAUUUUGUUUGAAGAUUUCAUGAAGGUGAGUGUGGGGCCAUGUUUUCCACGGCAAAUUCUUUUAUUUACUUACCAAAUUUUUCUCCAAAUUUGCUUGCACGCAAGCCAGUCAGUGAUUCAUUGGUUCUGUCCUGCCGGCCCAUUCAUCCUGUUCCCGUUUGACCAGCCGGCUAAUGGGACCCGUUCCAUUUCCUCCGCGGUGCUCUCGCCGACGCCCGCAUCGUGUAACGCGCCCGCGGUGACGGAGCCGUGAGCCAUCCG
rnacentral:lncRNA from 1 species